UACGAAGGGGGCUAGCGUUGCUCGGAAUCACUGGGCGUAAAGCGCACGUAGGCGGCUUCUUAAGUCAGGGGUGAAAUCCUGGGGCUCAACUCCAGAACUGCCUUUGAUACUGAGAGCUUGAGUCCGGGAGAGGUGAGUGGAACUGCGAGUGUAGAGGUGAAAUUCGUAGAUAUUCGCAAGAACACCAGUGGCGAAGGCGGCUCACUGGCCCGGUACUGACGCUGAGGUGCGAAAGCG
rnacentral:rRNA from 1 species